rnacentral:misc_RNA from 1 species
AAGUCGUAACAAGGUUUCCGUAGGUGAACCUGCGGAAGGAUCAUUACUGAGUUAGGGUCUUUAUGGCCCGAACCUCCAACCCUUGUGUUUAACAUACCAUGUUGCUUCGGCGAGCCCGUCCUUUUCGGAGGACCGCCGGAGGGUCUUCAACCCCCCUCUGGCCCGUUGCUCGUCGGUAGCCAUCAAACUAAAACUCUUGAUUAACCAUGUCGUCUGAGUCUAAAAUUUUAUAAUUAAAAUAAAACUUUCAACAACGGAUCUCUUGGUUCUG